ACAGUCCUGGCUUAGUGGUUAGCACGUUCGCCUCACACCUCCAGGGUCCGGGGUUCGAUUCCCCGGUUUCCUC